GGGCGCGGCCGCCCGCGGGAUGGGUGGCGCCGCAGGUGAGCGUGGAGGGGCGCCGGCCGGGCAAGGCAGGGAGCGCCCCCGGGGCUGAGUCCGGCUCUGCCUCUCAUGGGUCCGGGACCCGGGGCUCACCAAACGUGGCUUCAGCUCCUCCUCCGUCAAGUGGAGCUUGGGCUGGAAUUCUAGGGCACCUUGCGAUCUCUUUGCAGAGCAGCCUCUGGCUCCGUGCCACGGGGGCGGGGGGGGUGGUGGUGUGGGGGGACAAGUCCCUUCAUCUCUCUGAGCCCGUUUUCCUCUAUUGCAAAGUGACGAGGUUGAAGCAGAUGAUCUUUAUGGCCUCUUCUAGAGAAGAUGGGAUCAUUACCCCCACAGUGCGCCCCGCGUGCCAGACACGGGGAGCUGGAUGGUUUUGAGCGACAAUCUCAGCUCAGGAUCUGGAGUCAGAGAAACUCGGAUGGGGGAUGGCGCCGGACUUCUGGAGGGACCCAGAACCGGCUGUCUUUCAUCUUCCCGGCAGCCUGCACGUCCACUCUGGAGUCCUGCUCUUCCAGUUUGCUCCCACUCCACUGGCUGCGGGUAAGUGCCCACUGGGCAUCGGGAUUCCCGAGUAGCCAAGUGCCACGCGAAGCUUUGGCAACUCCAGGCCUGGCGUUUGAGAGGAGGUCACCACAGCCGAGUGCCUGCCCCGGAGGCCUACGUCAGCCUGCUUCAGGGGCGUGCCGGUCCUUUACAAUUCACAACGGCCAGAAAGUCUUACAUCAUGACCUUGACUUUUCCACCUGA
rnacentral:lncRNA from 1 species